AGUAACGGCGAGUGAAGCGGCAACAGCUCAAAUUUGAAAUCUGGCCUCGGCCCGAGUUGUAAUUUGCAGAGGAAGCUUUGGGUGCGGUACCGACUGAGUCCCCUGGAACGGGGCGCCACAGAGGGUGAGAGCCCCGUAUAGUCGGACGCCAAACCUGUGUAAAGCUCCUUCGACGAGUCGAGUUGUUUGGGAG
rnacentral:rRNA from 1 species